GUGGUCUAAAGGAUAAGACGUCCGGUGCAUUCGUAUCGAGCGAUGCACCGGUGUUCGAAUCCUGCAAGCGGGUACCAAUUUUUCUAAUGAAAUACGUACUUAACAAAUGUUCACGAUUGACUUCCACGGUGAAGGAAUAACAUUGUGUAAUAAAAAUCAAACCCGCAAAAUUAUAAUUUGCGUAAUUACUGGUGGUAGGACAUCUUGUGAGUCCGCACGGGUAGGUACCACCGCUCCGCCUAUUUCUGCCGUGAAGCAGUAAUGCGUUUCGGUUUGAAGGGUGGAGCAGCCGUUGUAACUAUACUGAGAUCUUAGAACUUAUAUCUCAAGAUGGGUGGCGCAUUUACGUUGUAGAUGUCUAUGGGCUCCUGUAGCAACUUAACACCAGGUGGGCUGUGAGCUCGUCCACACAUCUAAGCAACAAAAAAAAAAAACAACAAAAUUAAGGUCGUUGGUCUAUUGACAAAUGUUACCGGCUUGGUUAAAGAUCUUUCUGGUUUUUUCCAAAUAUGUAUAUGACGGCGUUAACAAUAUUUCUAAUAAACAUCACGAGCAACAGGCGUGACUCACACAAGCCGGGUGCGCCGGCCGUGUCGUUCCACUCGUGCAACAGAAGUGACUCAUAAGCCAGCUGCGCCGGCUAGUAUAAAAAGGCGGUGCGUGCCUUGCGAGAAACAUUCGUUGGACUGCGCUUGCCUGGUGCACUUACUAUAUCCUCGUUACGUUGUGUGAUUCAGUGACUGUUGUACGUACUGGUUAAAGUUGGACAAGUGUUAAAGUGAAUUGUUAAGAUAACAUAUUGUUGAUUAAAUCAGGAAUCAAAUAGUGACAUCGUUUUACUUGGUGUUCAACAAGAUAAUGUCUACCCUCAAGCCUACAUCAGAAGUGAGAUCAGGACUCUACUCUCACUGGCGUGACGUGUUUGAACAUGUUCGAAGUACAGCAAAAAAAACAUGAUGCAGAUCAGAAUACUAGUAGUGGUACGCCACAAGAGCGUGAAUGCAGCAUACGUAAGUCGUGUAAUAACGUCUCUGUUACCUCGAUGGAAGAUCUGAGCCACGAAGAAAUCGUCACAUCUUACGUUCUGGCUCAUGUUGCCCAGUUUGACUGUCGACGUCAUCACAUGGCAUUUACUAACGGAAAUACAACACGUAACAAACUAUUGCAAGAAAUUAAGGCAAGUGCAAAUCUCAAGUGAAACUUCGAUCGCAAUAAUGGAUCUGUCAUGACGAGUGGGUAGUUCCGACACGAAUCGUUUUUAAGCCAAUGACUACUGCUAGAGUUACAUGGCACUAGUACAGUAAACCAGGACAUGAGACUGUGAAUUGUCGCUGAAAUUUUAGAAUCUACUCGAUUCAAUACCAAUAACAUUACACGUUCGAUGACUUCGGGCUCCAGCAAGCAAGCAAACAAGAAAGCAAGCAAGUUUCCGUGGGGAAGAAAAAUUGACACAUCUGAAGUCGUCGUGACCUGUAAGAUAAGACGUCCGGUGCGUUCGUGUCUGGCGAUGCGGCGGUGUUCGGGUUCCGCUGGCGGAUGCAGGUUUUUCCGGUGAAGUGCGUGCUUGUGCGUGCUUGACAAGUGUUCGCGGUUGGCUUCCUCAGUGUGGGAGUAACAUCGUGUAAGAGAGGUGGAACCCGUAAAAUUGUAGUUUGCGUGGUGGCUGGUAAGAUUUGUUGCGGUAAGAAGUUUGCAUGGUGGUAAAAUGUCUUGUGAGUCUGCACAGGUAGCCGGAGGUGAGACUUCCGCGGUCGCGGCCCACCCAGUCCGCGAGAACCGGGCAGAUCGCCUCGACGGUACGGAGGCCGGCCGACGGGUCCGCCAAACGACGAGACCACGCCUCCAGCACGGACUGCCGAUAUUGGAGCCCCCGCGCUCCGGCUGCACUUGCGCUAGGGCGCGCCGCCUCGUAGGAGACUGUGAGCCUGCAAAACCUGAACAACCUCCUCAUCCGUGGGCGCCCGGCUCUCGCCUGCAAGUCGGCUGUUACGUGUGCGGUGAUGCGAGCCAUGUAGCUUCUGAGUGUUCCAUGCGCUACAAGAAGAAAAACGACACUGCUCCAGGUGCUGUGGCAGGUCCAACCAGAGACGUCAACGUGUGUUCCAGAGCUUCAGUGUGUUACAGAUAAGUGGUUUUGGCUCCCCCUUUAUGUUCCAUUCAGGGUCAGACUGUAGUCUUAUAAAACAAAGCCAUAGUAAUUUAUUCAAUGGUAAGCGGUUUCAUGAACAAGUCACCGUAGUCACCCUAGACACGUCCUUACGGAUCCAUCAGAUCCAAUAACUCUUGCAUUAGAUACCUUCAGCUCUAACACUAGGAGCAGGCUGAGGAACCCCAGUAAUCGUACUCGUCGAACUCGACAAAGAGGUCGACGUGCAACCUAACCCAUGCAUCAGCCCACUGAGUUUCUCGCCGGAUCUUCUCAGUGGGUCGCGAUUCCGAUCCGGUAGUAGAUUCAUUCGCGAAGCAAUUGCUCUUGAGUUGUUAGGUCUCCUGCGGAGGCGCUCGGGCAGUUGUUAGCAAAUCCCACCCCUCUUGGCUGAGCCUUUGCUCGCCCACCCGUCCUGGUGAAGCGGGAAAGGCCUCCGGGCCACCAGUAAUCUUUCAAUCAUCUGCAGUUUUGGAAAACGAUAGGUAUAAGUUGAGAUAUGUAAAUGGUUCUAGUGCACAAAGCUCCCCAUGAAAACUUACGCGAAGUACCUCGAGGCCCGUCAGGCCUACUAGAAAUUUCUGAAAAUUAUAGUGACGAUGACGUGACGGCGUACACAGAUGGGUUAAUUAAUCUUGUUCGUGAAACUGAUCUUAAUGAUGACGACUCUAUCACUGACAAUAGAAGCGACAUUUUUGUCCGCAAAUAGCGAUACAGCAAACAUAGUCUGUGGGUAGUGAUACAAUGUCUGUAAGCUCAGGCACCUCAGGUGCAGGUGUUGGAAAUGUAGAAAACGAUGGUCGGUCUCGCACUAUUUCUGAAGAAAUUCCGUAUAUGUCCGUAUUCCGUAAAUGUUCUGGUUUAAGAAAUGUUUUAACAAACGCUACCGUACACGCAGAUUAAAAAAAAAAAAAAAGAGAAUUGUAUGUGGAUAGAGAGAUGUUAAUCCGGACUAGCAAAAAAAAAAGAGAAAAAAAAGUGUGAAGUCAUUGAAGGGUCUGUCCGGUCCAAUGGCUUGGCUAUAGGGAUUUUCAUCCAGAUUAGCCACAACAAUUAGCUACAGGGAUUGCGAUCCGGUCUAGCAUUAUCCGGUCCAGUUCGAAAAACUGAAGGGAUAACAAUUCCGAUUUAAGUUAAAAGGGACAUACUUACAUACCUGAAGAGAUUUAAAUGAACUGGCCCAGGUAUGUAAGCAGUCAGUAUUUAUAGCCAGUAUAGGAUUUUCUGAAGAAUUAUGCGAACCGAACCGUAUUAGAUUGUUAAUAUCAUAGACCACGUUUUAAGUUGCAUCCGUUAAUGUCAGGAUGAACGAAUACGCUUAUUGUCUACAGAACAACCAUAAAAAGGCGCACGAGGACGAGCGCAUGUCAGUAUGGCCGUGACGGCGUUAACAAUAUUUCUAAUAAACAUCACGAGCAACAGGCGUGACUCACACAAGCCGGGUGCGCCGGCCGUGUCGUUCCACUCGUGCAACAGAAGUGACUCAUAAGCCAGCUGCGCCGGCUAGUAUAAAAAGGCGGUGCGUGCCUUGCGAGAAACAUUCGUUGGACUGCGCUUGCCUGGUGCACUUACUAUAUCCUCGUUACGUUGUGUGAUUCAGUGACUGUUGUACGUACUGGUUAAAGUUGGACAAGUGUUAAAGUGAAUUGUUAAGAUAACAUAUUGUUGAUUAAAUCAGGAAUCAAAUAG